rnacentral:rRNA from 1 species
AACGCGAAGAACCUUACCUGGGCUCGAAAUGCUACGGACCAGCUUAUGAAAGUUUGCCUUCCCGCAAGGGACCGUAGUAUAGGUGCUGCAUGGCUGUCGUCAGCUCGUGUCGUGAGAUGUUGGGUUAAGUCCCGCAACGAGCGCAACCCUUGUCCUGUGUUGCCAUACCGAAAGGUGGAACUCGCAGGAGACCGCCAGGGAUAACCUGGAGGAAGGUGGGGAUGACGUCAAGUCCUCAUGGCCUUUAUGUCCAGGGCUACACACGUGCUACAAUGGACGGUACAAAGGGCUGCCAACCCGCGAGGGGGAGCCAAUCCCAAAAAACCGUUCUCAGUUCGGAUUGCAGGCUGCAACUCGCCUGCAUGAAGCUGGAAUCGCUAGUAAUGGCGGAUCAGAACGCCGCCGUGAAUACGUUCCCGGGCCUUGUACACACCGCUAGUC